CCUACGGGAGGCAGCAGUGGGGAAUCUUGCGCAAUGGGCGAAAGCCUGACGCAGCGACGCCGCGUGGGUGAUGGAGGCCUUCGGGUCGUAAAGCCCUGUAGGGAGGGAAGAAGCUUCGGCUGACGGUACCUCCUUAGCAAGCACCGGCUAACUACGUGCCAGCAGCCGCGGUAAAACGUAGGGUGCAAACGUUGUUCGGAAUUACUAGGCGUAAAGCGCGCGUAGGCGGGUCUGUAUGUCGGAUGUGAAAGCCCUCGGCUCAACUGAGGAAGUGCAUUCGAAACUGCAAGCCUAGAGUACGGGAGAGGAGAGUGGAAUUCCCGGUGUAGAGGUGAAAUUCGUAGAUAUCGGGAGGAACACCAGCGGCGAAGGCGGCUCUCUGGACCGAUACUGACGCUGAGGCGCGAAAGCGUGGGGAGCAAACAGGAUUAGAUACCCUGAUAGUCCACGCUGUAAACGAUGGGCACUAGAUGUCGCGGGUUUUGAUGCCUGCGGUGUCGCAGCUAGCGCGAUAAGUGCCCCGCCUGGGGACUACGGCCGCAAGGCUAAAACUCAAAUGAAUUGACGG
rnacentral:rRNA from 1 species